rnacentral:tRNA from 1 species
AGCUUAGUGGUAGAGCGCUUGCCUACUAUGUGUGAGGCCCUGGGUUCAAUCCCCAG